rnacentral:misc_RNA from 1 species
GAUGAAGAACGCAGCGAAAUGCGAUAAGUAAUGUGAAUUGCAGAAUUCAGUGAAUCAUCGAAUCUUUGAACGCACAUUGCGCCCGCCAGUAUUCUAGCGGGCAUGCCUGUCUGAGCGUCAUUUCAACCCUCAUGCCCCUAGGGCGUGGUGUUGGGGAUCGGCCAAAGCCCGCGAGGGACGGCCGGCCCCUAAAUCUAGUGGCGGACCCGUCGUGGCCUCCUCUGCGAAGUAGUGAUAUUCCGCAUCGGAGAGCGACGAGCCCCUGCCGUUAAACCCCCAACUUUCCAAGGUUGACCUCAGAUCAGGUAGGAAUACCCGCUGAACUUAAGCAUAUCAAUAAGCGGAGGA